rnacentral:rRNA from 1 species
GACGAACGCUGGCGGCGUGCUUAACACAUGCAAGUCGUACGGUAAGGCCCUUUCGGGGGUACACGAGUGGCGAACGGGUGAGUAACACGUGAGUAACCUGCCCACAACUUUGGGAUAACGCUAGGAAACUGGUGCUAAUACUGGAUAUGUGCUCCUGCUGCAUGGUGGGGGUUGGAAAGCUCAGGCGGUUGUGGAUGGACUCGCGGCCUAUCAGCUUGUUGGUGGGGUAGUGGCCUACCAAGGCGGCGGCGGGUAGCCGGCCUGAGAGGGUGACCGGCCACAUUGGGACUGAGAUACGGCCCAGACUCCUACGGGAGGCAGCAGUGGGGAAUAUUGCACAAUGGGCGCAAGCCUGAUGCAGCAACGCCGCGUGCGGGAUGACGGCCUUCGGGUUGUAAACCGCUUUCAGCAGGGACGAAGCUUUUUGUGACGGUACCUGCAGAAGAAGCACCGGCUAACUACGUG